GAUGAACGCUGGCGGCGUGCCUAAUACAUGCAAGUCGAGCGAACGGACGAGAAGCUUGCUUCUCUGAUGUUAGCGGCGGACGGGUGAGUAACACGUGGAUAACCUACCUAUAAGACUGGGAUAACUUCGGGAAACCGGAGCUAAUACCGGAUAAUAUUUUGAACCGCAUGGUUCAAAAGUGAAAGACGGUCUUGCUGUCACUUAUAGAUGGAUCCGCGCUGCAUUAGCUAGUUGGUAAGGUAACGGCUUACCAAGGCAACGAUGCAUAGCCGACCUGAGAGGGGGAUAGGCCACACUGGAACUGAGACACGGUCCAGGCUCCUACGGGAGGCAGCAGUAGGGAAUCUUCCGCAAUGGGCGAAAGCCUGACGGAGCAACGCCGCGUGAGUGAUGAAGGUCUUCGGAUCGUAAAACUCUGUUAUUAGGGAAGAACAUAUGUGUAAGUAACUGUGCACAUCUUGACGGUACCUAAUCAGAAAGCCACGGCUAACUACGUG
rnacentral:rRNA from 1 species